rnacentral:sRNA from 1 species
ACUGGGUUGCUGAUCCAGCUAUGGAGAAAGCCGCAGAUCUGCAGGACACAGCCUCGUUAACUCUGAAGUUUAAGUUUAACCCAAAGCUGGGCAUUGAUAAUCCUGUCCUCUCCCUGGCCGAAGACCACAACCCCUAUGGUAACUCCCUCACCCCCUGGCAACCAUUCCCUUUCCCUGGAGGCACCACAGCUCCACACGGCCUCCGAUCUCCUUGGUAACCACUUGCUCGGUCUCCCUCUGAUAACAGCCUUGGUUGGGGGUAGAGAUAGGAGGGGCCAGGCGUUUUCUCCUGUUCCAGUCCCUCUGUCCACGAACCCCACCACCCAACACCCAACCAGGCAGAAACUGCCCAGCGCCCUAUCAGGACACAGGGUCUGCCAGGCACAUGGCGAACCUGUACUUGGGCUGUGCCCUCUCCUCCCCCUUUUCCGCUGCCCACCUCACCCUCCAGAUCCCUGGAGCCUGGAGCGGCCUCGCUUCUGUUUACUGAGCAAAGAGGAGGGCAAGAGUUUUGGCUUCCACCUGCAGCAGGAGCUGGGCAGGGCUGGGCAUGUGGUGUGCAGGGUGGACCCAGGCACCUCUGCCCAGCGCCAGGGUCUUCAGGAAGGAGACAGGAUCCUGGCGGUGAACAACGAUGUUGUGGAACACGAAGACUAUGCGGUGGUGGUACGCCGCAUCCGGGCCAGCAGCCCUCGUGUGUUGCUGACAGUAUUGGCACGGCAUGCACAUGAUGUGGCCCGAGCUCAGCUGGGAGAAGAUGCCCACCUCUGUCCCACCCUAGGCCCAGGGGUCCGGCCCCGGCUGUGCCACAUAGUGAAAGAUGAGGGUGGUUUUGGCUUCAGUGUCACCCAUGGCAAUCAGGGUCUUUUCUGGUUGGUGCUAAGUACCGGAGGAGCAGCUGAGCGGGCAGGGGUGCCCCCCGGGGCCCGGCUGCUGGAAGUGAAUGGGGUCAGUGUGGAGAAGUUCACUCACAACCAACUCACCAGGAAGCUUUGGCAGAGUGGACAGCAGGUGACCUUGCUGGUGGCAGGGCCAGAGGUGGAGGAACAGUGUCGCCAGCUGGGAUUGCCCCUGGCUGCACCCCUGGCAGAGGGCUGGGCACUGCCCACCAAGCCCCGCUGUCUGCACCUAGAGAAAGGGCCCCAGGGUUUUGGGUUCCUGCUCCGGGAGGAAAAGGGCCUUGACGGUCGCCCUGGUGAGUGGGAGCCCUGGGGGUGGUGGGGGAAGGUGGGCCUUGAGGUGGGUACACAAGUGUAUAUACACCUUUCAGUGCACCGAAGAGGUGUCCCUGUCUGAGCUCUGGCCCUGGGCCACCUCUUCCUGUUCACUCUGGGGUCAGUCCCCUGGUGUGCACACAGUGGCCUAGGAUAGUUGGAGAGGAGCAGUGAGGAUGUCUAUGCCCCAGGACAGUUCCUGUGGGAGGUGGACCCGGGACUGCCAGCCAAGAAGGCUGGGAUGCAGGCUGGGGACCGGCUGGUGGCUGUGGCUGGGGAGAGCGUGGAGGGGCUGGGCCACGAGGAGACAGUGUCCAGGAUCCAGGCGCAGGGCUCCUGUGUCUCCCUCACUGUCGUCGACCCUGAGGCUGACCGCUUCUUUAGCAUGGUUCGCCUAUCCCCACUCCUCUUCUCGGAGAACACAGAGGCUCCCGCCUCGCCCCAGGGCAGCAGCUCAACCUCACUGGUUGAGACAGAGAACCCUUCACUUGAAGACACAAGCGUGCCUUCUGUCCCUCUUGGCUCCCGACAGUGCUUCCUGUACCCUGGGCCUGGUGGCAGCUAUGGCUUCCGACUCAGUUGUGUGGCCAGUGGGCCUCGUCUCUUUAUCUCCCAGGUGACUGAUGCCCCAUGGAUCUUGAAUCCCUUCGAUCCUUUGCUGCCCGAUCAGUCUUCCUCUGCUUCCCUCCCAGAGCCUUAAGCCAGAAACUUUCCCCUGGUGUCCCCUGUUCUGCAUGAUCCCACACCACCAGGUGACUCCAGGAGGCUCAGCUGCCCGGGCUGGGUUGCAAGUGGGAGAUGUGAUUCUGGAAGUGAACGGGUAUCCUGUUGGGGGACAGAAUGACCUGGACAGGCUUCAGCAGCUGCCUGAGGCUGAGCCACCCCUCUGCCUGAAGCUGGCAGUCAGGUCUCUGUGGGGCUUGGAAGCCUGGAUUCCCCCUGGGGCUGCAGAGGACUGGGCUCUGGCCUCGGAUCAGCUGUAGAGCACCCCUGCUUGGUACAGACAUACUCAGGGGCUACCGUGUCUUCACUCUCCAGCCCGAGGUGGUGAAGGCAGGAUGCUCUCUCUAAGCCAGACCAGAGGGACUCAGACACCACCGAUCACAGGCUGGCCCAGGUGCUCCCUCCCUUCCCGCAGGCCCAACUCCCAGCAGAGGGUGUGGUUGGAGUCCCUGAAGGAGUCUGAGGCUCCAGAGGAUGUCAUAUGGGAGCUUUGGAGAACUGUGUCCCAAGGAUGAAGGUGUGGCUGUGGGUCUGGCUAGGAUUGAAGCCAUCUGGACCUUUUCUAGAUAUGACUCCAGGACCCUUGAGUGUAAUGCAAAAAUUUGGAGCCCAGCUAUGCCUGCCCUCUGUGGGUGCCUUAGCAUUGCGGGAGGGUGGUGCUUGGUCACCGUUGCAUUUGUUAUAGAAAUGGCCGUUCCCCAU